AUUGAACGCUGGCGGCAUGGUUAAGACAUGCAAGUCGAACGGCGAAAGGGAGCAAUCCCAAGUAGAGUGGCGAAAGGGCGAGGAAUACGUUUCUACGUACCCCGAGGUCGAGGACAGCCCAGGGAAACUUGGAGUAAUACUCGAUGUGGUCGCAAGAUCAAAGGUUUACUGCCGUCGGGGAGCGGGAACGUCCUAUCAGCUAGUUGGUGAGGUAAUGGCUCACCAAGGCGAAGACGGGUAGCGGGUGUGAGAGCAUGACCCGCCGCAUCGGGACUGAGACACUGCCCGGACU
rnacentral:rRNA from 1 species